GCAAGGAUGUAUAAUUUAAUCAAGAGAAUUUCGGCAGUAUAACAGCAAGAAAAUUGGUGCAAGUUGCGAUAGCAGAAUUGUCGUCGAAAAAUUUCAGCGGGUUACGAUGAAAAUUUGCAGCAACACAAAAUCAUUUUUAGAGAUGAAUUCCUUAAUAUAUCAAUCUUAGAUGGAAGCCAAGAUGAUCUAUGAAGUGUAUAAGAAAUUUCAUUCAAAAAAGAUUGCAAAUAGAUGGGUUAAGGCAACAAUAUGCCGCUGAAAUUUUCUGCAGCACAGAUUUUUAAGUAUAGCAGAUUGGACGUAAAAGAUCAGUGGUUU
rnacentral:lncRNA from 1 species